GAUGAACGCUGGCGGCGUGCCUAUUACAUGCAAGUCGAGCGAACAGACGAGGAGCUUGCUCCUCUGACGUUAGCGGCGGACGGGUGAGUAACACGUGGAUAACCUACCUAUAAGACUGGGAUAACUUCGGGAAACCGGAGCUAAUACCGGAUAAUAUAUUGAACCGCAUGGUUCAAUAGUGAAAAACGGUUUUGCUGUCACUUAUAGAUGGAUCCGCGCCGCAUUAGCUAGUUGGUAAGGUAACGGCUUACCAAGGCGACGAUGCGUAGCCGACCUGAGAGGGUGAUCGGCCACACUGGAACUGAGACACGGUCCAGACUCCUACGGGAGGCAGCAGUAGGGAAUCUUCCGCAAUGGGCGAAAGCCUGACGGAGCAACGCCGCGUGAGUGAUGAAGGUCUUCGGAUCGUAAAACUCUGUUAUUAGGGAAGAACAAAUGUGUAAGUAACUAUGCACGUCUUGACGGUACCUAAUCAGAAAGCCACGGCUAACUACGUG
rnacentral:rRNA from 1 species